rnacentral:rRNA from 1 species
CGACGUGAGUAACCUGCCUUGGAGUGGGGAAUAACAGCUGGAAACAGCUGCUAAUACCGCAUGAAAUGUCUGAAUCGCAUGGUUCUGGACAUCAAAGAUUUAUCGCUCUGAGAUGGACUCGCGUCUGAUUAGCUAGUUGGUGGGGUAACGGCCCACCAAGGCGACGAUCAGUAGCCGGACUGAGAGGUUGGCCGACCACAUUGGGACUGAGACACGGCCCAGACUCCUACGGAAGGCAGCAG